rnacentral:rRNA from 1 species
GUGCUUUUGGAGCGGCCGAUGCCUGAUUGGCUAGUUGGUGAGGUAAAGGCUCACCAAGGCGUCGAUCAGUAGCUGGUCUGAGAGGACGACCAGCCACACUGGGACUGAGACACGGCCCAGACUCCUACGGGAGGCAGCAGUGGGGAAUUUUGGACAAUGGGGGAAACCCUGAUCCAGCCAUGCCGCGUGAGUGAAGAAGGCCUUCGGGUUGUAAAGCUCUUUCAGCCGGAACGAAACGGUCACGGCCAAUACCCGUGACUACUGACGGUACCGGAAGAAGAAGCACCGGCUAACUACGUGCCAGCAGCCGCGGUAAUACGUAGGGUGCAAGCGUUAAUCGGAAUUACUGGGCGUAAAGCGUGCGCAGGUGGUUUUGUAAGUCAGAUGUGAAAUCC